UUGCAUGUGGAAAUGUCUGCUCCUCAUUCCUUUGGAAGCAGGAACACAUCCAUAACAUGCUACAUUAAAAAAGGAGUUCUCAGGGCUGCCAACCUUACAGUAGAGGUUGAGUAGUAGUAUAUUUCUCCUACAUGA
ensembl:snoRNA SCARNA18 small nucleolar RNA U109